UCGGGCUUCAAGGUGUCACAACUAACUUGAAUUUCAACAUGUCUGCAAAGAAUUCAUUUGUCCAAAUAAACACUAAUAGGAUACUGCAGACCGAAGAUCCACUUUGACCCAGACUUGCAACCGAUGCCAAAGACAAGCUGAAAGUAAUGAAGCUUUGUGGACAUUCACAGAAAUUCAUUACAAGAAGGACAUCAGGGGUGGCCGUAAAAAGGAUGAGCAUUUGUCUUCAGUAAAAUUAUAUAAACGUCUUUUACUUCUUUUUUAACAUGAUUUUGAUUUUGUGCAUUUCCCCCAACAGUUUCAUAUUUAUCCAAACUGGUUUUCCUUCAACAAAAUUGUUGGUCUGCAGUUUUGGGAUCAUUCUUCUUUGAGUUAAGCAUCGCAUGGGUUACUUUACUUAAAAAAUACUACAGGCUCCGCAGACUUGAUAGUAUUGUGCGAAUUUAAGCCAUUUAUUCCCCUUUUGCUCAUAAUCACGUUUCUACAACGAAUUGGUUACAUUAUAAAGUAACUUUUGACAUGACAAUUUAUAUCAUCGUAAAAAGAAAAUGCAAAUACAACA